GACGAGGGGUCCAAGCGUUGUUCGGAAUCAUUGGGCGUAAAGCGGGUGUAGGCGGCUCUAUAAGUCAGAAGUGAAAGCCCCGAGCUUAACUUGGGAAGUGCUUUUGAUACUGCAGAGCUUGAAUGUGGGAGAGGGUAGUGGAAUUCCAGGUGUAGUGGUGAAAUACGUAGAUAUCAGGAGGAACACCGAUGGCGAAGGCAGCUCGCUGGGACGGUACUGACGCUGAGACGCGAAAGCGUGGGGAGCAAACAGG
rnacentral:rRNA from 1 species